rfam:Brachypodium distachyon strain Bd21 chromosome 3, whole genome shotgun sequence.
CAGGGUACCCUUUGACUCUUCUUAGUUCAAACAAAUGAACUAGUUUUUCAAAAUGUUGUGCUAUUUUAAAAUUUUAGUUCAUUUGAUUGAACUAAGGAGGGUCAAAGGGUACUCUG